rfam:Magnaporthe oryzae 70-15 chromosome 7, whole genome shotgun sequence.
GGUCCGGUGGCGUAAUGGUAGCGCGUCUGACUACGAUUCCUCAGAACAAAGUAUCAGGAGGCUGCAGGUUCGAGACCUGCCCGGAUCG